UACGGAGGGAGCUAGCGUUGUUCGGAUUUACUGGGCGUAAAGCGCACGUAGGCGGCGCAGCAAGUCAGGGGUGAAAUCCCGGAGCUCAACUCCGGAACUGCCUUUGAAACUGCAGUGCUAGAAGUCUGGAGAGGAGAGUGGAAUUCCGAGUGUAGAGGUGAAAUUCGUAGAUAUUCGGAAGAACACCAGUGGCGAAGGCGACUCGCUGGACAGACACUGACGCUGAGGUGCGAAAGCGUGGGGAGCAAACAGG
rnacentral:rRNA from 1 species